rnacentral:rRNA from 1 species
UACAGAGGUCUCAAGCGUUUGUUCGGAUUCAUUGGGCGUAAAGGGUGCGUAGGUGGCGCCGUAAGUCGGGUGUGAAAUUUCGGAGCUUAACUCCGAAAUUGCACUGGAUACUGCUCUGCUAGAGGGCUGGAGAGGAGAUCGGAAUUCACGGUGUAGCAGUGAAAUGCGUAGAUAUCGUGAGGAAGACCAGUGGCGAAGGCGGAUCUCUGGACAGCUCCUGGACGCUGAGGCGCGAAGGCUAGGGGAGCAAACGGG